UGUAAAGACCAGACUUUUGGACUCUGUGGGAGAAGCUGGACCUAUCAAUUACUGACAGAGAAGUGCUGAACUGCAUUUUAUGACCCAAACUGACCUCAGAGAUGACCCCUCUCCUGUUGAGAAACCUGCCAAGAAUGAACAGAAUCCCAUCACCGCAGAGACUGCUGAAAAACUGGCCUGUGUGGCCUGAAGUUUGCUAAGUAUGUGGCGUGUUCUGUACUCACACAGAAAGGCAUAAAGAAUGUAUUUAACGAAACAAUUUUGGCUGCCCUGGAGACGCCAGAACCGAAGAACAGCCACAGGUGUGUGCUGCUAUCAACAACUCUCCAGGAGUGUUUCUGCAUAGCUGGUGUCCGCAUGAUCCUACAAGCAAUGUUUCAAUCAAACUAAGGG
ensembl:lncRNA